rnacentral:rRNA from 1 species
CCUACGGGUGGCUGCAGUGAGGAAUAUUGGUCAAUGGACGCAAGUCUGAACCAGCCAUGCCGCGUGCAGGAAGACGGCUCUAUGAGUUGUAAACUGCUUUUGUACGAGGGUAAACGCAGAUACGCGUAUCUGUCUGAAAGUAUCUUACGAGUAAGGAUCGGCUAACUCCGUGCCAGCAGCCGCGGUAAUACGGAGGAUUCAAGCGUUAUCCGGAUUUAUUUGGUUUAAAGGGUGCGUAGGCGGUCGGAUAAGUUAGAUGUGAAAUCCCGGGGCUCAACUUCGGAAUUGCCUCUGAUACUGGUCGGCUUGAGAGUCGUUGAGGUAGGUGGAAUGUAAGGUGUAGCGGUGAAAUGCUUAGAGAUCAUACAGAAUACCGAUUGCGAAGGCAGCUUCCCAAGCGACUUCUGACGUUGAGGCACGAAAGCGUGGGGAGCAAACAGGAUUAGAUACCCGUGUAGUC